rnacentral:rRNA from 1 species
UAUCAGUCAUGCAUAGCAUAUCAAUAAGCGGAGGAAAAGAAACUAACAAGGAUUCCCCUAGUAACGGCGAGUGAAGCGGGAAGAGCUCAAAUUUGAAAUCUUAAAGGGUUUCCCUUUACGAAUUGUAGUUUAAAGAAGUGUUUUCUGUUAGAGUUUCGGUAAAAGUUCUUUGGAAUAGGACAUCAUAGAGGGUGAGAAUCCCGUAUUUGACCGUUAUUUCUAGCUUUGUGAUACACUUUCAAAGAGUCGGAUUGUUUGGGAAUGCAGUCCAAAAUGGGUGGUAAAUUUCAUCUAAAGCUAAAUAUUGGCGAGAGACCGAUAGCGAACAAGUACCGUGAGGGAAAGAUGAAAAGAACUUUGAAAAGAGAGUUAAACAGUACGUGAAAUUGUCAAAAGGGAAGCGUUUGACACCAGUGUUGUUUAAUUGAAAAUCAAUUAACUAAUUUUUGAUUUUAAAUAGUAUUGACUUUAUCAGCUUGCUAUUUUCUUUUCGGAAAUUAUUUAAUGCACUUUUCAGUUAACAAGUCAACAUCAAUUUCUUUUGUUGUAAAAAGGUAAGAGGAAGGUGGCUUAUGCUUCGGUAUAAGUGUUUAUAGCCUUUUACCUCCGCAAUCGGAGAGAUUGAGGUCUGCAGCGUAGAUCCUUCGGGGUUAGAUACAUUUGUGCUAAGUUAUAGUAUUUUAUAGACAACUUGUUGACUAUGAUUUAUCAUGUAGCUUACUCGUUAUGCCUAUUUUACCUACGCUUAGGAUGUUGAAGAUGUAGCACAUCAU